rnacentral:lncRNA from 1 species
UUGCCAGUUUUUAAUAAUGACACAAAUGUCAUCUGUUUGCAUUCACACUAUAUGCAUGUACAUUCUUGGGGUCAAGUAACCCUGUUUGGUUUGCUGGUUUCUUCCAUCCUCUUUAUCUUUCACCUAACUAGGAAAUUGCAGGGUAUUGGCUUGUUUUGGGGCCAGAAAGCAGUUUCCCAGGGCCAGGGUUAUCUGCCCAUGCGUUCGGGUCUGCUGCCUGGGCACGGUCCCACAGGUGGGGAUGCUCUAUAGGGACAUCCAGACAAAGCUGCUAUAGCUUUUAUGGUUCUACUGUUUAAUGCAAAGGCUGCUCAGAACCACUCCAUCCUGGGCUGCCUGAGAGAUCCCUCCUCAUUUUGACUAGUCUGCAUCUUUCAGAGGCAUCCCUCAGAUGCUUGGCUUCAGUUCUGGUACUGGGCACACCAACAGCAUCAGCCUCCUGCCCUCCUCGGGAGCCCACAGGCUCCAGCUUUGUAUUUCACUGCUGUCCCAGGGCUCCCUGCCUUCCUGCUCGUGCUUUCGUUGUGAGCAUAAUUCCUAUCCCCAGCUGAGGUUUUCAACACAGAAUAGGAAGAGAACAGGAUAGAGGCUAGUUCCUGGAGCUAAGAGUUCAUUCUUCUCCCACCUUUGAAGAUAAAGCGAUGAGAGGACCACGAGGGAUGGAUGAGGAAGCCCGGGGGCCUGCAGAUAUACCAAAGAGAAAGUGAAGGAAAUGACUUACAGAUGAGUCAGCUGAAGGUACCUUCCCCCCACCCAAGUGCCAGGGGAACAACAGACUGCUGGAAAGCACCUGGAAGGGCUGCAGGAGACAGCUCCAAUCUAGGCUGCUGGAGUUGGAGGACCCUUGAUCCACGUGCCAGGAGAUGUUUCCUGCAUGGCUCCAGUCCUGCCAGGACAAUUCCUUUUGUGUUCUUUGCUCCUCUCCUUAAUUUUAUGUUUCCGUUUGUAACAGCUGCUGUGUUGAUUGUUUCUCAAAAACUCCCAUCUAUUAAACAUAUGGAAAAAGAUCGUUUAAAAUUCAUUGUUUUGUAGGAUUUGGAUUUUUUUUUUCCAUGUGUGUCACUUCAAAUUUAUCCAUAAAUUAACUACCAACUUGCUGCCCAGGUGCUGCUGUGAGGUCCUCCCAAAACUCCUCUGUUGUCUUCCAGUUUUUCUGUUCUAAAUAACUCCGUAUCAUCAGCAACAUUUUUC